rnacentral:rRNA from 1 species
UACGAAGGGGCUAGCGUUGCUCGGAAUGACUGGGCGUAAAAGGGCGCGUAGGCGGUUUGCACAGUCAGAUGUGAAAUUCCCGGGCUUAACCUGGGGCUGCAUUUGAUACGUGUGGGCUUAGUGAGGAAGAGGGUUGUGGAAUUCCCAGUGUAGAGGUGAAAUUCGUAGAUAUUGGGAAGGAACACCGGUGGCGAAGGCGGCAUCCUGGACGGUCACUGACGCUGAGACGGCGAAAAGCGUGGGGAGCAAACAGGG